AUGAAUGGGGGGAAAGAUAAGAUUAACUGGACCCUCACUGCUGAUACUAAAUUCUCUGUAUGACCUUUAUACAAAGAAUUGAUUAUGUUAGGACUGAAAUUUCCACAGAAAUACCUUUGGAAAAUCAAAGUUCCUGCAAAAAUAAAAGUCUUCUUGUGGUUAGUAAAUAAGAAGAGUGUUUUGACUAGAGAUGUCUUACUCAAAAAAGGGUGGAAAGGGAAAAAAGAAUGUGUGUUUUGUGGACAAGAUGAAUCAAUUGAUCAUCUACUGUUCACAUGCUCUACGGCUUCUUUGCUUUGGAGCUUGGUCAGAUGUGUUUGUGGUGUGAAGACCAUUCCUUUAAGUGUUAAAGAUUGUUUUGGGGGAUGGAUUAGCAAAUUUAACAAAGAAGACAAGAAAAUGGUGAUGAUUGGGGUUUCUGCUUUAUUUUGGGCAAUUUGGAAAAGUAGAAAUGCAAUUGUAUUUGAAAGAAAAAGGAUUAAUGAUCCUCUUCAGAUAAUCAAACUAAUGAGUCGAUGGUUGGUUGAUUGGUCCAUAUUGCAGAUAAAGGAGCCAUCAAGAAAAAUGCUGGAACUGGGGGCAAGAGUGCUAGAACGGGCAGAAAAUGAGGUGUACACAGCUGGGCAGGGGUGGCGGAUCAAUGUGGCAAGGCUCCCUGGAUGA
rnacentral:rRNA from 1 species